rnacentral:rRNA from 1 species
GUGAGCGGCGGACGGGUGAGUAACGCGUGGGUAACCUGCCCUAUACACACGGAUAACGUACCGAAAGGUACGCUAAUACGAGAUAACAUAUUUUUAUCGCAUGGUAGAAAUAUCAAAGCUUUUGCGGUACAGGAUGGACCCGCGUCUGAUUAGCUAGUUGGUGAGGUAACGGCUCACCAAGGCGACGAUCAGUAGCCGACCUGAGAGGGUGAUCGGCCACAUUGGAACUGAGACACGAUCCAAAUUUCUACGGGAGGCAGCAGUGGGGAAUAUUGCACAAUGGGCGAAAGCCUGAUGCAGCAACGCCGCGUGAGCGAUGAAGGCCUUCGGGUCGUAAAGCUCUGUCCUCAAGGAAGAUAAUGACGGUACUUGAGGAGGAAGCCCCGGCUAACUACGUGCCAGCAGCCGCGGUAAUACGUAGGGGGCUAGCGUUAUGCGGGAAUUACUGGGCGUAAAGGGUGCGUAGGUGGUUUCUUAAGUCAGAGGUGAAAGGCUACGGCUCAACCGUAGUAAGCCUUUGAAACUGGGAAACUUGAGUGCAGGAGAGGAGAGUGGAAUUCCUAGUGUAGCGGUGAAAUGCGUAGAUAUUAGGAGGAACACCAGUUGCGAAGGCGGCUCUCUGGGACUGUAACUGACACUGAGGCACGAAAGCGUGGGGAGCAAACAGGAUUAGAUACCCUGGUAGUCCACGCCGUAACGAUGAGUACUAGCUGUCGGAGGUUACCCCCUU